GACUACGCCCGGCUAAUUUUUUGUAUUUUUAGUAGAGACGGGGUUUCACCGUGUUAGCCAGGAUGGUCUUCGUCUCCUGACCUCGUGAUCCGCCCGCCUCGGUCCCCUAAAGUGCUGGGAUUACAGGCAUACACUCUUAAGUAACCUGGUGGGGACCCAUCAAACUACAAAGGGUUAUAGCUACUCUUACAGAAGACAUAAGAAGAUAUAUACGCAGAGAAGACAUCAUAAGACCUGAAGAUGAAAAACUUCUGAUCACAGAAGAAAGAUAUACAACAGCCUUGAAGCAUUCUGAGAACCCAGUGAAGGCAAUAAUGUCUCUUCCCAGAGAAAUUCACAGAUGAGUCAGCCUCAGGCAGAUUUGUUCUCUUACCUGAAUUCCCAGCCCUGUCUUCUGCCAUUUCUGGGACUGCAUGGAGCCUGACCCAGCAGUGGGCACAGAAACAUGCAGGUGCAGAAAUACUGAGGAUGAAAAGCUUACUGUAGCUUUGCAACAGCUUGAAGAUAUUGAACUGAAAUCUGAAAUGCGUUAAGGUAGCCCCUAGAAGCUUGGAACUGCCCUCAGACUACAGCCAGGAAGCAGACAGGGACUUCAGUUCCACAGCCACAAGGAGCUGAAUUCUGCCAACCAGAAUGAGCAAGAACAUGGAUUCUCCCCUCAAGCCUCCAGAAAAGAAUGCAGCCUACAGUCAGCACUUUAAGUCCCAUGCAACCUAUAAUAGAUUUCUGACCUACAGAGCUUUAAUGUCAUAAAUUGGUGUUGUUUUAAGUCAUGAAGUUUGUGGUAGCUUCUUAUGACAGUAAUUGAAAACUAAUACCUGGUCUUUUUAGCAGAAUAACGAGCACCCUGUAAUGUGUCAUUCAUGCAUAUCUUUUUUUUUUUUUUUUUUUUGGUGGGGGCAGGAAGACAAAACUCUAGAGUUUAAUCUUCCAGCUGACUGACUUGGAAGUGUUCCUGUCAAUAUAAAAGAUCUUGUUGGGGG
rnacentral:lncRNA from 10 species